UUGUUCCUACGGGACGCAGCAGUGGGGAAUAUUGCACAAUGGGGGAAACCCUGAUGCAGCGACGCCGCGUGAGCGAAGAAGUAUUUCGGUAUGUAAAGCUCUAUCAGCAGGGAAGAAAAAUGACGGUACCUGAGUAAGAAGCACCGGCUAAAUACGUGCCAGCAGCCGCGGUAAUACGUAUGGUGCAAGCGUUAUCCGGAUUUACUGGGUGUAAAGGGAGCGCAGGCGGUGCGGCAAGUCUGAUGUGAAAGCCCGGGGGUCAACUCCGAGACUGCAUUGGAAA
rnacentral:rRNA from 1 species